rnacentral:rRNA from 1 species
AUAGUUUGAUGAUGGCUCAGAACGAACGCUGGCGGCGUGCCUCUUACAUGCAAGUCGAACGGGAACCGCGGAGCUUGCUCCGCGACUUCUAGUGGCGCACGGGUGAGUAACGCGUAGGCAACCUGCCGUCCGGUUGGGGAUAACCCCGGGAAACCGGGGCUAAUACCGAAUACGUUCGCGGGGUCUUCGGACCAUGCGAGGAAAGGCAGCCUCUGCUUGCACGCUGUCGCCGGAUGAUGGGCCUGCGUUCUAUUAGCUUGUUGGUGGGGUAACGGCCUACCAAGGCAACGAUGGAUAGCCGGCCUGAGAGGGUGUUCGGCCACACUGGGACUGAGACACGGCCCAGACUCCUACGGGAGGCAGCAGUGGGGAAUCUUGCACAAUGGGCGCAAGCCUGAUGCAGCGACGCCGCGUGAGCGAUGAAGGCCUUCGGGUCGUAAAGCUCUGUUGUAGAGGAAGAAACGCUCCGAGGCGAAUAGCCUCGGGGCCUGACGGUACUCUAUAAGAAAGCCCCGGCUAACUCCGUGCCAGCAGCCGCGGCAAAACGGAGGGGGCGAGCGUUGUUCGGAAUUACUGGGCGUAAAGAGCACGUAGGCGGUCGGGUAAGUCGGGUGUGAAAUCCCCGGGCUCAACUCGGGAACUGCGCCCGAAACUACUCGACUUGGGUACGGAAGAGGAGAGUGGAAUUCCCAGUGUAGCGGUGAAAUGCGUAGAUAUUGGGAGGAACACCUGUGGCGAAAGCGACUCUCUGGUCUGAUACCGACGCUGAGGUGCGAAAGCUAGGGGAGCGAACAGGAUUAGAUACCCUGGUAGUCCUAGCCGUAAACGUUG